rnacentral:rRNA from 1 species
CGAUCAACCACCCCAUUGCCGGAUGGUUCCGCUGCUACGCAUCGGCUGGACUCUCCCACUAGCCGGUGUGACCCUGACUCUGUGCCGGGUCUGAGGAUGCCCUCCGUCGUCAUCCCUUAGAAGGCGUUACCUGCUUUCAGACUGCCUCGUUGCGGCGCACUUGCUACUUCCAAAAGCCUAGCAUUUCAAGACAACAAUCCCUUCUUGGCGGCCCUACUGGAGGGCCAGACUGCCAUGGAUUGCUCUUUCGGGGCCGAUUGAUGCACGGUCGUCGGCGCCAUUAUGCAUCCCCCGUUCGCAACAGGCCUUAAUAACCCGCAUUUCGCGCGCGUCCGCCGAAGAAUUCAGUCCACACUUUCGGGUGCCGAGUUGGCACCUCCCGGUGAACUUUGACCCUUCGAACUCACGUCCUCUCCUCUCGCCUUAAGGUGCACAUCGCCACUUUACGCAUCUCUACACCUCCUUGUGGGCACCGCUUCCGCCGAGAGACCGGACAUUGACUGCGACUCCGCGCUUUCGCACCCCUCGCUUGUCCUAAUCUAUGGGACCAUCAGGUGCGGCAUUUGCAACUCACGAUCCACAACCCCCACUGGUUAGGAGUCACGGCGUCGAUUGCGUUAUUCGUGAGGCG